GACGAACGCUGGCGGCGUGCUUAACACAUGCAAGUCGAACGGAAAGGCCCUGCUUGCAGGGUACUCGAGUGGCGAACGGGUGAGUAACACGUGGGUGAUCUGCCCUGCACUUCGGGAUAAGCUUGGGAAACUGGGUCUAAUACCGGAUAGGAGCCAUCUUUAGUGUGGUGGUUGGAAAGUUUUUUCGGUGUAGGAUGAGCUCGCGGCCUAUCAGCUUGUUGGUGGGGUAAUGGCCUACCAAGGCGGCGACGGGUAGCCGGCCUGAGAGGGUGUACGGCCACAUUGGGACUGAGAUACGGCCCAGACUCCUCCGGGAGGCAGCAGUGGGGAAUAUUGCACAAUGGGCGCAAGCCUGAUGCAGCGACGCCGCGUGGGGGAUGAAGGCCUUCGGGUUGUAAACUCCUUUCGCUAGGGACGAAGCUUUUUUGUGACGGUACCUAGAUAAGAAGCACCGGCUAACUACGUG
rnacentral:rRNA from 1 species